AGGUCGCAAGUGUUACGGUAGCAUGUUCGGCUCCAACCCGAACGGAGUGGGUUCAAUUCCUACGCGUCCUGCCA
rnacentral:tRNA from 1 species